GACGAACGCUGGCGGCGUGCUUAACACAUGCAAGUCGAACGGAAAGGCCCUGCUUUUGUGGGGUGCUCGAGUGGCGAACGGGUGAGUAACACGUGAGUAACCUGCCCUUGACUUUGGGAUAACUUCAGGAAACUGGGGCUAAUACCGGAUAGGAGCUCCUGCUGCAUGGUGGGGGUUGGAAAGUUUCGGCGGUUGGGGAUGGACUCGCGGCUUAUCAGCUUGUUGGUGGGGUAGUGGCUUACCAAGGCUUUGACGGGUAGCCGGCCUGAGAGGGUGACCGGCCACAUUGGGACUGAGAGACGGACCAGUCUGCUAUGGGAGGCAGUAGGGGGGAACAUUGCACAGUGAGCGGGAGCCUGAUGCGGCAACGCCGCGUUCGGAAUGACGGCCUGCGGGUUGUAAACCGCUUUCGCCUGUGACGAAGCGGGAGUGACGGUAAUGGGUAAAGAAGCACCGGCUAACUACGUG
rnacentral:rRNA from 1 species